AUGAAAUCCCAGAAAAUAAGAAAAUUGAAACUAAAACAGGAAACCAGAAUGGCAUGUGGUAUGGUCACUCUGCAGGGGAAGAGCAAAGCCUGGCAACAGUUCUGUUUAGAAAUGAAAUCUGUUUCAGCUGCAAAGUUGAUAGCAAUCACGUGCACAAGGUUACAUGAAAAGUCCUCGUUCUUGUUAACUUUUUGGCUGCUCUGGUGUCUGCAGGCUUCAUGGGGGGAUUGCAGGGAAGGGGUUAAGUCCUUCUCAUUAGCAGAAGAGAGGCCGCAGCUGCAUGCCCUAAGCACUUGGGGGUGGUGGGGCAAGGACAGCUGUCACGAAUUACGGGAUUCCCUUACACACUAUAAAAUGCCUUCUCUCGAACAAGCCUGUUUGGCUAAAAACAGGGGUGGGUGGAGGUUGAACUUGGUGAGGAUGGGAGAGAAGAUUAUGUUUACUUGCUAUAUCCUAAUUUUAUUCCUGAUGAGGGUGGUUGGCAUUAGGGAAGGAGGCUGGGAUCCACCUGAAUGCUGGCUUGUGCAAACAGAAGCAGGUUUUUGGAAGCUCUCCAGUAUCAUGGAGCUCCAUAAGAUUGUUCCAAACAAAGAACAAAUACAGCCAGUUGUCAGUCUGAGUUUGGUACUGAAGCUUUACAUCUCUGAAGACAACGCUGCCUCCUGCACUGCUCUUCAGAUAUUUUAGAAGUGUGAUGAUGGAAGUUUAUUUCAAUAGAUGGAAAUGUUUUUUUUGUCAGGUGACUGCUGUGUUCCCAAGUAUACCCCAAAAUAACAGACUAAAUUCACUUCACCAUAGUGACGCAGGUGUGUUAAGAGCUGUUGGUACAGAAUAUCUUUAUUUUAUAACAAACCACUAACAUGGAGUAAUUUAGGCAUUUUUUCACUUAAUGAAUUCUACAGAUAAACCAAAAUAGGCAGAAACUCGCCUCUUUGAUUUACACCAGUUCUCCAAAUCUUCGUUUCAGUAGAACCUUGGCUUGUUCUUCUGGCUUUACCUUCUACAUAGUUAUCUGCUGACCAUUUUUAAAGGAAUUGUAUUUUCAUGGUACUUCAGACUUGGGUAUGUAUUUUAGGUGGACUGGCUAUUUCAAUUUAAAUCAAAGUGGACCAUUUUGCUUCAGAUUAGGUGCUGUGUUGAAGUUUUCUUUGUCUGCUUCUAAUGUUUAUGAUAACAGUUCUGGUACACACAAGCUUGGAUAAAUAUUGUCAGCUACAGUGUAGGUAAUGGUGGCUAAUAGAAGCAGAAAUUCAGGAUGAAUGUUACUGGGCUUUUGUUCUAGAUGUUUUUCUCUAUUGUGAUGGUUUAUAACUUCAUGUGUAUAUGUAUAUCUGGACAUAUAUAUUUUGACAUGAAUAAAUCUGCACUGUAAAAUGUGAAGGAAAGCA
rnacentral:lncRNA from 1 species